CCUACGGGUGGCAGCAGUGAGGAAUAUUGGUCAAUGGGCGCAAGCCUGAACCAGCCAAGUCGCGUGAGGGAUGACGGUCCUAUGGGUUGUAAACUUCUUUUGUCAGGGAGUAAUUUGCGCUACGUGUAUCGUUAUCUAGAGUACCUGAAGAUAAAGCAUCGGCAAAUUCGGUGCCACCACCCGCGGUAAUACGGAGGAUGGGAGGGUUAUCGGGAUUUUUUGGGUUAAAAGGGUGCGUAGGCGGAAUGCAAAGUAAGCGGGAAAAGCGGGGGGCUAAACCUCGCACUGCCGUUGAAACUGGCUUUCUUGAGUGGGCGAGAAGUAUGCGGAAUGCGUGGUGUAGCGGUGAAAUGCAUAGAUAUCACGAAGAACUCCGAUUGCGAAGGCAGCAUACCGGAGCCCAACUGACGCUGAAGCACGAAAGCGUGGGUAUCGAACAGGAUUAGAUACCCCAGUAGUC
rnacentral:rRNA from 1 species